CCAUUCCAUUGGCUUCUCCAUUUGACUUGGAGCUCUUCAGCUGGAUCGAGACAACUACUCUGAUGAAUGCCACGUCACUGGGUCAACAGAAUGGGCCCAGUCAUGGCAGUUAUCAAGAAAGAAACCACAGUGAACCACGGCUGGAACAUUGCACACCCGACAGAGAAGAAAAGCCUUGGCCAGGCACGGUGGCUCACGCCUGUAAUCCCAGCA
rnacentral:lncRNA from 10 species